UACGUAGGGUGCAAGCGUUGUCCGGAAUUAUUGGGCGUAAAGCGCUCGUAGGCGGUUUGUCGCGUCUGCUGUGAAAACUCGGGGCUUAACCCCGGGCCUGCAGUAGGUACGGGCAGACUAGAGUGCGGUAGGGGAGACUGGAAUUCCUGGUGUAGCGGUGAAAUGCGCAGAUAUCAGGAGGAACACCGGUGGCGAAGGCGGGUCUCUGGGCCGUAACUGACGCUGAGGAGCGAAAGCGUGGGGAGCGAACAGG
rnacentral:rRNA from 1 species